rnacentral:lncRNA from 1 species
GGAAAACUAUAAUUCUAUAUUGUACGAAUUAUUCGACAAAUUGAAUUCUCAAAAUUGACAAUCAACACUGCUGUCAUUAGGGAAAUGUCAGUAAGUACCUACAGAGCAACCAUUAUUUCUAGUUUAUCCUGCACAAAGACGAUCACUAAGACGCUUGAUGAACGUAAAUAGUGCAGGGAUACAGGCGAGCCCCUCUAUCUGGUAAAUGACGUCAUAAAGGCGUGUAUAAUUGACGAGUUUUUGCCGGUGACGGAUGAACUCGAAAGUGGUCUAUUGAAUUCGAAU